rnacentral:tRNA from 1 species
GAAAUUUAGGUUAACCAAACCAAGAGCCUUCAAAGCUCUAAAAAGGAGUAUAAUCUCUUAAUUUCUG